rnacentral:rRNA from 1 species
AGUGAACGCUGGCGGUAGGCCUAACACAUGCCAGUCGAACGGCAGCACAGUAAGAGCUUGCUCUUACGGGUGGCGGGUGGCGGACGGGUGAGGAAUACAUCGGAAUCUACUUUUUCGUGGGGGAUAACGUAGGGAAACUUACGCUAAUACCGCAUACGACCUACGGGUGAAAGCAGGGGAUCUUCGGACCUUGCGCGAUUGAAUGAGCCGAUGUCGGAUUAGCUAGUUGGCGGGGGAAAGGCCCACCAAGGCGACGAUCCGUAGCUGGUCUGAGAGGAUGAUCGGCCACACUGGAACUGGGACACGGUCCAGACGACUACGGGAGGCAGCAGUGGGGAAUAUUGGACAAUGGGCGCAAGCCUGAUCCAGCCAUACCGCGUGGGUGAAGAAGGCCUUCGGGUUGUAAAGCCCUUUUGUUGGGAAAGAAAAGCAGCAGGUUAAUACCCCGCUGUUCUGACGGUACCCAAAGAAUAAGCACCGGCUAACUUCGUG